rnacentral:rRNA from 1 species
UACAGAGGUGCCGAGCGUUAGGCGGAAUCACUGGGCUUAAAGCGUGUGUAGGCGGACUUCUAAGUACCUUGUGAAAUCCCACGGCUCACCCGUGGAACUGCUGGGUAUACUGGUCGUCUUGAGCCACCUAGGGGCGAGCGGAACAAAUGGUGGAGCGGUGAAAUGCGUAGAUAUCAUUUGGAAUGCCAACGGUGAAAACAGCUCGCUGGGGGUGUGCUGACGCUGAGGAGCGAAAGCGUGGGGAGCGAACAGG